rnacentral:misc_RNA from 1 species
GGUUGUUGAUGUGGCUCCUGAAAUCAAGUGGAAACCUGACGAUGCAUACAAGAAUAUUAAGGUGGCUGUUGAGCUUGACAGCGAUAUGGAUGCUCAAAGAGCUUCAGAAAAAGAGUUGAUACGGCGUCACAAGUCUCUGGGUGCAUUAAAAAUUGUUACUGAUAGGGGUUUACAGGUUGGCGAUGUCGCAGUGAUUGAUAUAUCAGCAACUACGAUUGAGCAAGAUGGAUCAGACGCUAAAACCAUACCAGCUGCAGAG